UACGGGGGGGAGCAAGCGUUGUUCGGAUUUACUGGGCGUAAAGGGCGCGUAGGCGGUCGUGACAAGUCACUUGUGAAAUCUCCGGGCUUAACUCGGAACGGUCAAGUGAUACUGUCGGACUAGAGUACAGAAGGGGCAACUGGAAUUCCUGGUGUAGCGGUGAAAUGCGCAGAUAUCAGGAGGAACACCAAUUGCGAAGGCAGCUCGCUGGGACGUUACUGACGCUGAGACGCGAAAGCGUGGGGAGCAAACAGG
rnacentral:rRNA from 1 species